rnacentral:rRNA from 1 species
AUGCGGAGGGUCCGAGCGUUAAUCGGAAUUACUGGGCGUAAAGCGCGCGUAGGCGGAUAUUUAAGUCGGAUGUGAAAUCCCUGGGCUCAACCUGGGAACUGCAUUUGAAACUGGAUAUCUAGAGUAUGGUAGAGGUGAGUGGAAUUUCAGGUGUAGCGGUGAAAUGCGUAGAGAUCUGAAGGAACAUCAGUGGCGAAGGCGACUCACUGGGCCAUUACUGACGCUGAGGUGCGAAAGCGUGGGUAGCAAACAGGAUUAGAAACCCUUGUAGUCC